CACAUCAUGCACGUUGACAUUUCAUAACCAUUUUCUAAUCAUUUGUAAAUUUUGGUACAGCAAUUAGCACGUAUUCAAUAUCAAAAAAUGGUUCUUGGUGCCUUUUAUGACUUCUUUGGGCGCAACUUUUCGGAAUGUCGAUGCCGACCCGAACCGAAAGGAGAUCCACUUGAAUUUAACCCAGGGGCGGCUAUAAAUCUUGGAUAUACCUGGCUAAGCUUCUUUAAGAGAUUAACAGUGCCACCGUACGCCGCCGUCCCUACCCCGCCCUGCAAGCCACCAUGCAGACGCAAAUGCUGCAAAACUCGACGCAAUCCACAGCCAUGCAAUGUUCUAUGUAAAAGGAAACGCAAGAGGAACGCAAAGCAAAAGAGUUGUGGCAAUCCUUGCUGCAGUCACAAGCCAUCGAACCGUUAAUAUAAUCCACUGAGAACACAAAAUACGCCUACUCAAAUAAAUAGCACUGAUGGCAACGCAAUAAUCAAUGAAGUGGUAAAAACAAAAUUUUAUGUUGUCAUGACUAAUGAUAUUGAAUAAAUAAAUUAACGUCAAAUUCAUAAAAACGUGUCGAAGAAGGUCGUCAAAAAUAAUGUGACGUCGUUUUUAUAUUUCGUUCGUGUUUGUGCAAACGCACUUUUGUCAUACUUGUCUAGAAUUCGUGAAAAAAAAACGUUAGAAAACCGGGGCGGGCAAACAAAUCAAAUGCUUUAAUCAAUUUUGCAUAUUUUAACUGGGGAAUUAAAUUUGUGGGAUUGAAUCAGCCAAAAUUAAUUCAUAUUUUACUAGUUUAUAAAACGGAGUUAGAUUGAUUAAAAUUUUGUACGUUUUGAACUCAUUGGCAAUAUGUUUUCCUGGCUAUAUCGAUGGUGGUGGCGUAACGAUGAUGAGGAAGAUGAAGAAUGUGAAGAUGGCGACGAUGAAGUUAAUUUGGCUGCACGAUUAGGCAUUUUUUACAUUCAGUUGUUCCAGAAAUUAUUGAUACCUGCACAUGUGAGGGAAUCGAAAUAUGCCAACCAGAAUCCCUAUCAUCGCAUCUUCUAUAACCCGAAUAGCAAUCCGCCAACCAAACGCGGAUAAUUUGUCAAAUUAAAUAGCACUCACCCCAACGGCCGCGUAGAAGUAUAAAACUAUGUCCAUAAAAAUAAAAAUGUAACUGUUGAAAUGACACUGAAGAAUAAAAUUAAUCGACUUUCA